UACGUAGGGUGCGAGCGUUAAUCGGAAUUACUGGGCGUAAAGUGUGCGCAGGCGGCGCUGCAAGUCGAGUGUGAAAUCCCCGAGCUUAACUUGGGAAUUGCGCUCGAAACUACGGCGCUGGAGUAUGGCAGAGGAAGGUGGAAUUCCACGUGUAGCGGUGAAAUGCGUAGAGAUGUGGAGGAACACCGAUGGCGAAGGCAGCCUUCUGGGCCAAUACUGACGCUCAUGACACGAAAGCGUGGGGAGCAAACAGG
rnacentral:rRNA from 1 species